AGAGUUUGAUCCUGGCUCAGAACGUACGCUGGCGGCACGCCUAACACAUGCAAGUCGAACGAAGUAGCAAUACUUAGUGGCAGACGGGUGAGUAACAUGUGGGUAUCUACCCUUUGGCCUGGAAUAACACGAGGAAACUUGUGCUAAUACCGGAUAAGUCUUUACGGAGAAAGCUUUAUGCACCAUUGGAUGAGCCCGCACUUGAUUAGUUUGUUGGUAGGGUAAUGGCCUACCAAGACUAUGAUCAAUAGCUGAUUUGAGAGGAUGAUCAGCCACAUUGGGACUGAGACACGGCCCAAACUCCUACGGGAGGCAGCAGUGGGGAAUCUUGCACAAUGGAGGAAACUCUGAUGCAGCGAUGCCGCGUGAGUGAAGAAGGCCUUUGGGUUGUAAAGCUCUUUCGUCGGGGAAGAAAAUGACUGUACCCGAAUAAGAAGGUCCGGCUAACUUCGUGCCAGCAGCCGCGGUAAUACGAAGGGACCUAGCGUAGUUCGGAAUUACUGGGCUUAAAGAGUUCGUAGGUGGUUGAAAAAGUUGGUGGUGAAAUCCCAGAGCUUAACUCUGGAACUGCCAUCAAAACUUUUCAGCUAGAGUAUGAUAGAGGAAAGCAGAAUUUCUAGUGUAGAGGUGAAAUUCGUAGAUAUUAGAAAGAAUACCAAUUGCGAAGGCAGCUUUCUGGAUCAUUACUGACACUGAGGAACGAAAGCAUGGGUAGCGAAGAGGAUUAGAUACCCUCGUAGUCCAUGCCGUAAACGAUGUGUGUUAGACGUUGGAAAUUUAUUUUCAGUGUCGCAGGAAACCGAUAAACACACCGCCUGGGGAGUACGACCGCAAGGUUAAAACUCAAAUGAAU
rnacentral:rRNA from 1 species